rnacentral:rRNA from 1 species
UACGUAGGGUCCGAGCGUUGUCCGGAAUUAUUGGGCGUAAAGAGCUCGUAGGCGGUUUGUCGCGUCUGCUGUGAAAACCUAAGGCUCAACCUUGGGCUUGCAGUGGGUACGGGCAGACUAGAGUGCGGUAGGGGUGACUGGAAUUCCUGGUGUAGCGGUGGAAUGCGCAGAUAUCAGGAGGAACACCGGUGGCGAAGGCGGGUCUCUGGGCAAUAACUGACGCUGAGGAGCGAAAGCGUGGGGAGCGAACAGG